ACUCCGAAAGGGCCUCGCCUCGCGAAUCC
rnacentral:sRNA from 1 species